rnacentral:rRNA from 1 species
GACGAACGCUGGCGGCGUGCCUAAUACAUGCAAGUAGAACGCACAGUUUAUACCGUAGCUUGCUACACCAUAGACUGUGAGUUGCGAACGGGUGAGUAACGCGUAGGUAACCUGCCUGGGAGCGGGGGAUAACUAUUGGAAACGAUAGCUAAUACCGCAUAAUAUUGAUUAUUCCAUGAUAAUUGAUUGAAGGAUGCUAUUGCAUCACUACCAGAUGGACCUGCGUUGUAUUAGCUAGUAGGUGAGGUAACGGCUCACCUAGGCGACGAUACAUAGCCGACCUGAGAGGGUGAUCGGCCACACUGGGACUGAGACACGGCCCAGACUCCUACGGGAGGCAGCAGGAGGGAAUCUUCGGCAAUGGACGAAAGUCUGACCGAGCAACGCCGCGUGAGUGAAGAAGGUUUUCGGAUCGUAAAGCUCUGUUGUAAGAGAAGAACGGGUGUGAGAGUGGAAAGUUCACACUGUGACGGUAUCCUACCAGAAAGGGACGGCUAACUACGUG